AUUGAACGCUGGCGGCAGGCCUAACACAUGCAAGUCGAGCGGAUGACGGGAGCUUGCUCCUUGAUUCAGCGGCGGACGGGUGAGUAAUGCCUAGGAAUCUGCCUGGUAGUGGGGGACAACGUUUCGAAAGGAACGCUAAUACCGCAUACGUCCUACGGGAGAAAGCAGGGGACCUUCGGGCCUUGCGCUAUCAGAUGAGCCUAGGUCGGAUUAGCUAGUUGGUGGGGUAAUGGCUCACCAAGGCGACGAUCCGUAACUGGUCUGAGAGGAUGAACAGUCACACUGGAACUGAGCCACGGUCCAGACGCCUACGGGAGGGAGCAGUGGGGAAUCUUGGAAAGUGGGCGAAAGCCUGAUCCAGCCAUGCCGAGUGUGUGAAGAAGGUCUUCGGAUUGUAAAGCACUUUAAGUUGGGAGGAAGGGCAGUAAGUUAAUACCUUGCUGUUUUGACGUUACCGACAGAAUAAGCACCGGCUAACUCUGUGCCAGCAGCCGCCGUAA
rnacentral:rRNA from 1 species